AACAUUCAAAUCUGGCAAUAUUGAUAAUAAGGUGAAUAAAACCAUAGUAAGAAAUGUCCCAUGCAAUUACAUAAUUCCACCUAACAAAUUGUUUAUAACAGUCCCAAAUCAACCAUCAUAAUAAACUCACUUACUUAAAUUAGAAUUCAGCUAAUCAGUACAAUAUAUCAAGUCCAAACAAGAAGCCAAAAUAAUAGUAAUGGAUCAGCAAAACCAAGUAAUGAUAAGCUUUAAAGUUUGCCUUGCAUUUCAUUCUUUAAAUCAACUUCACAAAUAAUAAAGCUUAAAAAUGGUACCUGCAAAGCAAAACAAAAGGGAGAAGUGAGCUGACCAGCAGUGAACAAUAGCACACAGCCCAUAUCCAACCACUCAGCAAUGAAAAAGUCAACAAAACAAUGAACCAACCAACACAAUCAAUCCAGCUCUUUCUAUACCCAAGCUCAACUCAUUUUAUCACCAGAUUCUUAAUUUUAAGAUAUUUUCCAAAAAUUUAAAACCAGCAUAAUUAUUCAGAGAGUUAAAACCAAGUAACCAACAUCAACUCCAACGACUUUCAGCAAUUGAAAACUAAGAAUCAAAGAAGGAUUUCAAUAGAAUAGUAGCUUUCUAUAAAUAUCUUAGCUGUUUUGAUUUUCAGAUUUUCAGAGUGUUAGAAUGCCCAUUUGAGUGAAGGGAAAGCUUCAU
rnacentral:lncRNA from 1 species